GGCAGCGGUUGAAACAUAUGCAAAUAGAAGUUUCUGCAUCACUGGGUCGUCACUGCAACUCCAUGACAGCUCACUGCGACUCCAUGAUGGGAUAUCUUCUGAAAGUGUGAUCGGUUCAUCUGUUUUCAGUGUUCCUACAAUAAAGGACAGCUUCAACAAGCUUUGGAACAUGCAGUGCCAGUGCCAUAGAUGCCGGUCCAGAGAGAAGCACCGCCGCUCGUUUGAUUCCCAUUUUCUCCGCCACUUCAAGCGCCCAUCCGGCCGCCGUAUCAGCCAAAACACAACUGAUUUUCUCAUCACCGUUACUCCUACUAUUAAUAUUCUCGAUCAACUUCAUGAAAUGACCAGGCAUAACUCUCUGCAUACUUUCCGUCAUCUUAACGUAAUCCCGUCGAUCAUCGUCAGCUUCCAAUCCAUCAGGGAUCGAAACUAAGCUUAUCGGCGGCCUCUGGUCUUCUUCCAAAGCUUUCGCCGGUAAGGAAGCCAUCACUUUUUCGUGAAUGAAUUCGGUGUUAACUAACGUCACUUUCACUCCAUGAGCGGCGAUUUGGAGUGAUAACUUCAUGAGAGGAGCUAAAUGGCCUUGUGCUGCGUGGGGUAUCACUAUUACAUGUCCUCGCCUGACCGCCAUUGAAAGUAAUACCAGACCUCACUGCUUUCACUGCUAUGCUUUGAGUCGAUCUUUUUCAAACUAUCAACUUUAUUCUCGGCAAGUUUAUUAUCAACUUGUCCAUAAAGUAUUAUGUACGAACUCAUGGUGCUGAUAACGCCGGAUCGGCCAGUUUAUUACCAAUUUGCCCAUAAGCUGUGUACGAACUCAAUAUAGAUAUCAAUAUGAUACACCAACAUGACAUCGAUAUGUUAAAUUUUAUAUGAUGUAAAAUUUAACUUUAUAGUUAUAUAUUUCAAUAUAAAAUACAAAAGUAGUAAACUUACCAUUGCUACAAGAA